rnacentral:lncRNA from 1 species
CUCAUAGAGAUGAUAUGGGAUACUUAAGUACAGUUUCAACAAGGGCCACAAAAGCAUCUAAUAGAUUGGUAAAUUACAGACAAACAUACUCACCCAUUGUUUCAUUUGAUCUAUUUUACAAGACUGAAGCAGGGAGCUUUCACAGUUCUAAAGCAGGAAAGAUUUAUUAUCCAAGAACUCUCACCCUAAGGCAGAAUACCUUUUUAUGGCCCUUCAUUCAGAGUAGGCCAGGAGUUCAGCCUACGAAAGUGCACAGGCGGGAUUUUACAUAUUAAGUUCCUGAUUUAAGCUGCAGGACUAUCCAGCUGCUGAUGAGGAGCAAGAUCUCAGAUAGGCUGUACUCAAAGGUCAUGUCAGGGAGUAUGGUCAUGCAAAAUCUACAAAAUAAAGCUAAGAAAUUUGACA